rnacentral:lncRNA from 1 species
AAUGAUGAAAUCAGAGUAACAAUGAAGGGCACGGGGGACUAAGGGAAUACAAGAGAAGAAGCAGUGAAUGCGGUGGCCUUCAUCGUGUUCGUCGUAUCUAGGGUUUUCUUUCAAUUUUCAGUUUUAGAAGAGAGGGAGAGACGACAAAGGAAGAGAAAAAGGAAAGGAUUGCACGGGUCUGGUUAAAGAUCCGAGCUAUAGUGGGUCGAGUCAAAUAGUUUAGGUUGGAUCAUGUAAAUACUGGUUUCAUUAAGGGCAAUUUUGAUUUUCACCACGUUUUUGAUUAAAAUAUAUUAAAAAUUAUAUUGUUUUUAAUUGGUGGGAUAAAAUAGAAUAGGCAUGGGAGUUACUGGGCCAAUCGAGAAUAAAGUCCAAAUUUUGUUUGGCAACAAGAGGUCAAAUUUAAAGCAAAGUUUAUCGAGAGAAAUAAGGCAAUUCAUCUACACAUACAGUCCUCAUAUACUAAUAUCACCAUUUAUGGGCUGUUAUUAAUUUGUGAUUUACUUUUUUUUUGAUGAUUUUUAAAAUAAAAUAGCUGUUCAAUUUUGAAAAAAAUUUUAGAUGACUUCUAGAUUUUCUUAGAAUUUUAUUAAAGAUUUGUGUAGAUUAUUAAUUUUUUUAACAAGAGAUAAUCAUGAACUUUUGCAAGAUUUAUCUUUAGAUACUGUAAAAUGUUUUGUUGUUGCACAUUAUCUCUCCAAUUUUUCAGUUUGUAUUUUGUAUUUUAUUGUUGGUUUUUGGUUUUUGUUUUUUUUUUGUCUUUCUUGUGUGCAAUCUAUAUAUCUAUUAUUAUAAAGUUGUUUUUUUCCUUUAUUCUGACAAAUGGCAUGAGGCUUUUGCUACACGUGUCAUCCAUGUAUAUUUUUUACAUUUUAGGUCCUUAUUCUUUUAGAUUAUUGCAAUUUGGCCAAGUAUUUUUUAAUCGUGAACUAUCUAAUCCUUUUUGCACUAACUAUUAUCAUAUGGAGUUUGAUAAUCUAUUUUAUUUUUCACUAAAAUUCAAGAUGAAUAAAUAAAUAAAUAAAAUAAUAGAAAUAUAUUUUACAUAUUUAAUUUAUUCAUAACUAAACAUAACAUAAAUUUUUGUUAUUUUAUUUUAUUUUUAUCAUUUUCUAUUAUUUAAUUUACAAAUUAUAUAUUUAUUUAACUAUUACAAAUAUAAAAUGAUCUAACUAAUAAGAAAAAUUAGAGUGCA